AUGACGGACAAACAACAAAAGGAAGCUCUAGGAGAAACAUACCUAGAGCUGUUUCGACGAAGGUCUCCUCCAUUUACACUGCAGAGACUCUGUGAGAUCCUUUUGGCUGCAAGGAGUAUCUACCCAAAGCUCUCAAAGCUUGCUCUUGCAUUAGAAAAGAAUCUGUUGGUUACUUCUAUGCUAUCCAUCAGUACGGAACCGCAAUCACAACCCACUGAGGAAGCAAACGCAGCAACGGAAGGCACAAAAACGGGACACAGCCAAAUGGAAUUGAAGCAGUGGUGGGAGGUGACAAGGAUGAGAUAAUGACAGAGGUAGAAGAAGAAGAAGCAGAUGUUGAUGACGCAAUGACUAUUGACAUGGAAACAAUCGAUGAACCAUCAGAAACAAUGACGACGACAGCGAGUGAGAAGCCAAGCGAAAUCAGUUAA